rnacentral:lncRNA from 1 species
UCCAUUCAUUUUUUUUCUAUUUUCUUUUUCUAUUUUUAUUUUCUUUUUCUGCCAACUUCUGAAAUAUUACAAACAUAAUUAUUCAACCCCACACAAUUCCAAACGGGACUCUUUCAACCCUUUGAAUAAGGUGAUAACAUUAUUUUUCACUUCUCGUCUUGUAAUGAGUUUUAAACAAAAAAAGGGAUAAUAUACUCAAGGGGGUUUCAAACAAGGGAUAAUAUUAUUUCAGGGUUGACUUUUUG